rnacentral:rRNA from 1 species
GAUGAACGCUGGCGGCGUGCCUAAUACAUGCAAGUCGAGCGAACAGACGAGGAGCUUGCUCCUCUGACGUUAGCGGCGGACGGGUGAGUAACACGUGGAUAACCUACCUAUAAGACUGGGAUAACUUCGGGAAACCGGAGCUAAUACCGGAUAAUAUAUUGAACCGCAUGGUUCAAUAGUGAAAGACGGUUUUGCUGUCACUUAUAGAUGGAUCCGCGCCGCAUUAGCUAGUUGGUAAGGUAACGGCUUACCAAGGCAACGAUGCGUAGCCGACCUGAGAGGGUGAUCGGCCACACUGGAACUGAGACACGGUCCAGACUCCUACGGGAGGCAGCAGUAGGGAAUAUUCCGCAAUGGGCGAAAGCAUGACGGAGCAACGCCGCGUGAGUGAUGAAGGUCUUCGGAUCGUAAAACUCUGUUAUUAGGGAAGAACAAAUGUGUAAGUAACUAUGCACGUCUUGACGGUACCUAAUCAGAAAGCCACGGCUAACUACGUG